rnacentral:rRNA from 1 species
AAACGCUGGCGGCGUGCUACCAUGGCGUACGAACGAGGUCCAUCCGAUCUUCGGAUUGGUGAAGACCUAGUGGCGAACGGGUGCGUAACACGUGAGAAACCUGCCCCGGUCUCUGGGAUAACAGUUGGAAACGACUGCUAAUACCGGAUGCCGUCGGACCGUCGCAUGGCGGACCGACGAAAGGGUUACCGGAUCGGGAGGGUCUCGCGGCCUAUCAGCUUGUUGGUGAGGUAACGGCUCACCAAGGCAUCGACGGGUAGCUGGUCUGAGAGGAUGAUCAGCCACACUGGGACUGAGACACGGCCCAGACUCCUACGGGAGGCAGCAGUGGGGAAUAUUGCACAAUGGGCGAAAGCCUGAUGCAGCAACGCCGCGUGCGGGAUGAAGGCCCUAGGGUUGUAAACCGCUUUCAGCAGGGAAGAAAAUGACGGUACCUGUAGAAGAAGGUGCGGCCAACUACGUGCCAGCAGCCGCGGUGACACGUAGG